rnacentral:rRNA from 1 species
UUGGGGUUGGUGACGGUACCUGCAGAAGAAGCGCCGGCUAACUACGUGCCAGCAGCCGCGGUAAUACGUAGGGCGCAAGCGUUAUCCGGAAUUAUUGGGCGUAAAGAGCUCGUAGGCGGUUUGUCGCGUCUGCCGUGAAAGUCCGGGGCUUAACUCCGGAUCUGCGGUGGGUACGGGCAGACUAGAGUGCAGUAGGGGAGACUGGAAUUCCUGGUGUAGCGGUGAAAUGCGCAGAUAUCAGGAGGAACACCGAUGGCGAAGGCAGGUCUCUGGGCUGUAACUGACGCUGAGGAGCGAAAGCAUGGGGAGCGAACAGGAUUAGAUACCCUGGUAGUCCAUGCCGUAAACGUUGGGCACUAGGUGUGGGGGACAUUCCACGUUUUCCGCGCCGUAGCUAACGCAUUAAGUGCCCCGCCUGGGGAGUACGGCCGCAAGGCUAAAACUCAAAGGAAUUGACGGGGGCCCGCACAAGCGGCGGAGCAUGCGGAUUAAUUCGAUGCAACGCGAAGAACCUUACCAAGGCUUGACAUGAACCGGAAUGAUGCAGAGAUGUGUCAGCCACUUGUGGCCGGUUUACAGGUGGUGCAUGGUUGUCGUCAGCUCGUGUCGUGAGAUGUUGGGUUAAGUCCCGCAACGAGCGCAACCCUCGUUCCAUGUUGCCAGCGGGUUAUGCCGGGGACUCAUGGGAGACUGCCGGGGUCAACUCGGAGGAAGGUGGGGACGACGUCAAAUCAUCAUGCCCCUUAUGUCUUGGGCUUCACGCAUGCUACAAUGGCCGGUACAAAGGGUUGCGAUACUGUGAGGUGGAGCUAAUCCCAAAAAGCCGGUCUCAGUUCGGAUUGAGGUCUGCAACUCGACCUCAUGAAGUUGGAGUCGCUAGUAAUCGCAGAUCAGCAACGCUGCGGUGAAUACGUUCCCGGGCCUUGUACACACCGCCCGUCAAGUCACGAAAGUUGGUAACACCCGAAGCCGGUGGCCUAACCCCUUGUGGGAGGGAGCUGUCGAAGGUGGGACCGGCGAUUGGGACUAAGUCGUAACAAGGUAGCCGUACCGGAAGGUGCGGC